AUACGGAGGAUCCAAGCGUUAUCCGGAUUUAUUGGGUUUAAAGGGUGCGCAGGCGGAAGAUUAAGUCGGCGGUGAAAUUUUGCAGCUCAACUGUAAAAGGGCCAUCGAUACUGGUUUUCUUGAGUGUGGAUGAAGUAGGCGGAAUUUGUGGUGUAGCGGUGAAAUGCAUAGAUAUCACGAGGAACUCCGAUUGCGCAGGCAGCUUCCUAGGCCAUAACUGACGCUCAGGCACUAAGGCGUGGGGAUCAAACAGGAUUAGAUACCCUGGUAGUCUACGCAGUAAACGAUGAUUACUCGCUGUUUGCGAUACACAGUAAGCGGCUUAGCGAAAGCGUUAAGUAAUCCACCUGGGGAGUACGUUCGCAAGAAUGAAACUCAAAGGAAUUGACGGG
rnacentral:rRNA from 1 species